AGUUGCAUGAAGAUAAAGAGAGAGAGAGAGAGAGAGAGAGAGUGCACCACUGAGAUGUUACUUCUCUCUCUCUCUCUCUCUCUGUCUCUCGCUUUUUCU
rnacentral:miRNA from 1 species